rnacentral:lncRNA from 1 species
AUGCAUAUAGUGAAUCUAGUAGCCACGCUAUAUAUAGUGUAUCUAGUUGCCAUGCUAUAUAUAGUGUAUCUAGUAGCCAUGCUAUAUAUAGUGUAGAGGCCAUGCUAUAUAUAGUGUAUCUAGUAGCCAUGCUAUAUAUAGUGUAGAGGCCAUGCUAUAUAUAGUGUAUCUAGUAGCCACGCUUUAUAUAGUGUAGAUACCAUACUAUAUAUAGUGUAUCUAGUAGCCAUGCUAUAUAUAGUGUAGAGGCCAUGCUAUAUAUAGUGUAGAGGCCAUACUAUAUAUAGUGUAUCUAGUAGCCAUGCUAUAUAUAGUGUAUCUAGUAGCCAUGCUAUAUAUAGUGUAUCUAGUAGCCAUGCUAUAUAUAGUGUAGAGGCCAUGCUAUAUAUAGUGUAGAGGCCAUGCUAUAUAUAGUGUAUCUAGUAGCCAUGCUAUAUAUAGUGUAUCUAGUAGCCAUGC